rnacentral:rRNA from 1 species
UACGAAGGGGGCGAGCGUUGUUCGGAUUUACUGGGCGUAAAGGGCGCGUAGGCGGCGCAAGAAGUCAGGCGUGAAAGCCCCGGGCUCAACCUGGGAAUUGCGCUUGGGACUCUUGGGCUCGAGUUCGGGAGAGGAGCGUGGAAUUCCCAGUGUAGAGGUGAAAUUCGUAGAUAUUGGGAAGAACACCGGUGGCGAAGGCGGCGCUCUGGACCGAGACUGACGCUGAGGCGCGAAGGCGUGGGGAGCAAACAGG